UAAUAAUAAUAAUAAAUUGUAUUAUUAUUAUUAUUAUUUAAUUAAGUAAUUAAUUAAUAAUUAAUUAAAAUAAGUAUUAUUAUUAGUGUGGUUGUUAUUAUUAUUAUUGUUAUUAUUCAUUAUAAUAUCAGUCUAACAUUUUUGUUCACAUAAGUGUACUGUUAACAUCGUUAUGGGAAAACACACACACACACACACACAAACACACACACACACACACACACACACACACACACACACACACACACACACACACACACACACAAAACUAGCACCACAAAAAGACAGAUUCUCUGAAAUACAGAUGUCUGAAAUGCUGAUUUACAGCUGAUCCUGCAGCUGCUCUUUUUACCCCACCUCACAGCUUUAAUAGCAAUAAUAAUCAUUCAAGUUAUAGCAAAUAAUCAUUGUUUCCAUAGUAACAACUCCUUCACGAAUAUCUGUGAAUGUGCUAUGAAGUGCAUCAAAUCUAAUAAUAAACUAAAAAUAUUAUCGAAUGUAAUAAAUAAAUAAAUAAUCUAAUAAUUAGGGAUACAAUCUAAUAAUAAACUAUUUGAAUUCAUAUUGAAUCUGUAUCUGAAAUAUCGAAGACGUGUAAUUUGUUGAAAUUGUAAGACGUUUGGUUAAUCUGUAAGAACUCCAGUGUCACAAAAAUGUUUAAUCGCUUACAUAUUAAGUUAAAAAAUAUUUAUUUUAAAAGUGUGUGUGUGUGUGUGUGUGUGUGUGUGUGUGUGUGUGUGUGUAUGGUCUCCAUGUUAAUAAGCAGGGGACUACAGCUGGGGUCACGCCAAAACACGAGCAUGGGGUGAAUGAGUUCUUGCUUCUACCAGACACACACACACACACACACACACACACACACACACACACACACACACACACACACACAGAGGUACACACACAGAGGUACACACUCUAUAAGACUAGAGGUAUGAAACUGUUUAGAUUUGAUUCCAUAGCAGAGAAAAAACAUCCGGGUUCUGUAAUUGAAAAAAAAAAAUAAUGAAAGAACAUACACUACAUAUACAAAAGUAUUGGAAAAGCUGACUUUUGUGGUUCAUCUCGCUUGAACUAGGAGACCCAAAACUGUUCCAGCAUGACAAUGUCCCAGUGGAACAUCUUCCCAGAAGAGUGGAGGGUGUUAUUACAGCAAACGGGGACUAAAUGUGGAACGGGAUGUUUAGAUAUGGAUAGACGUAUGGAUAAAUAGGGCAGAUAUAUAGAGUGUAGAAAUGACAGACAGACAGAUCAAAGCCUUCUGGGUCACAUGACUCCUCAUGCUAAUGACCUGGGAAGUAACUGAAAAACAGAGACUUUAAUAAACGUAUUGCUGUGUUAAGUUGCUCACAUACGGGUGUAAGAAUGUUUUCAGAUCAUUUCAUGGAGCUUUACUGGAACGAUCGAUCUCACUGGACUCAGUUACUGCUCACAGAACCAGCAGCUAACGGGUUUCAGAGCUUACAGUGGGAGACUUCUAAAGCCCAUCUGCUGCACUCCUCUGCUGCUCUGGACGCUAACUGGAGACGACGCAUGGACGUCUCGGCCGCGAUUCUCACGCGUCCACACGAGGCUGAGGUGCGUGUGCGCCAGAUGUGCCUGCUUCUGGCUCCUCCUUGAGAGUUCCCAGUGUUCAGGGAAGAGAUAAAGAGAAUUACUGCUCGCCAGAUGUUCGGGUGCACAUUGGGAAAGGUGCUGUCUUGCCUGAUACACUCUCCACCUCUUACUCACUCGCUCCUGCUUUCUUUUUGUCUCUCUUUCUCAUAGAUAGAUAGAUAGAUAGAUAGAUAGAUAGAUAGAUAGAUAGAUAGAUAGAUAGAUAGAUAGAUAGAUAGAUAGAUAGAUAGAUAGAUAGAUAGACACAGACGGAGAGACAAACAGGUAGACUGACGACUAGUAGUAGUCUAGACAGGUAGUCUGUCAUCCUCUCUCUCUCUCUCAUUCUCUCAUUCUUUCUAUCUGUCUCCCUCUUUCAGGAUCAGUCUGAUGUUCAAUAGUGUCACAAAAAGACGAGGGAAAAACAGAAGAAGGUUUAUGCAGGAAUCUCAAUUAUGAACUGCUCCUCCUCUGAAACUGUUUCGCUUCAUUACAGUUUCUACAGUUACAUAAGGAUUCGUAAUCGUCCAUAAUCUUCUAUUACUGAUAUGCUCGUCCUCCACUUGGGGCACUUCCCACCUUUGCAGGACUUCUCCAUCCGGGGGCGGGGCAGAUGCAAACAGUUUUCUUCCGCCGUUGGUUGGCCGGAUCGGCUGACGCAGGUCACGUUGCGACGUCGGAGACCCUUCCCACAGGAGGCAGAACACUAUGUGGAAGAGGAGAAAAAAAAAAGAGGGAAAGCCAAGCAGGGAAGCAAUUAGUCACGCUUAGAGAGCAACUUCUCAGAACUGUGGGAGGUGAUAUUUGCUAAAACAAUUGGGAAACCGUGUGUGUUUUAUUGUGAGUAGAUUCGAAGGUGAGGACAGAAUUCAAGGUUACAAUACUGACACAUUUUCUCAUAUUAAUUGAUGAUAAAAAAUAUCUCCAGGUUCAAUGAAUAUGGUGGGGAGUAAACCCCACUUUUUGUGACAUCUCCAUUUAAGCACCCAGGAGCUAAUCAAAGGUGCCGCUCUGAUGGAAGAUGAAUGCGCUGCACUUAAGGUGCAAGACAUUGGCUGAACUCUGACCUAAUUAUGGAGGUCAGAUUUAUGGCUGGGUGUGGAGAACGGUGGAAAAAAAGGGGCCAGAUGUUUGGCUCGAUCCCACCAAUGCGGAUCCAGGUAUCUGCGUCGGUGCUAGCGUUAGGUCUGUCUUUGUUUAAUCCUCUCUUUGAUGGGGUUUGGAAAGAGGCACCACUUCAGGCUUGAGGUUUUUCAACAGUCAGUGUAUAUUUUCAUAGUUUUUGCCACAGUCGAUUACAACGAAUGUGGCGUGGAGAUCUUUCGAUCGAAAUACAGUGCAGUACAGUACAGCUUUUAUUGUCACUAAGCGAUUUUAAAAAACCCUGGUGGUAUUUUUACCUCAGCACACACUUCAUCAAAGGGUUUAACAGCACCAUGCUGUCAAAAUGCAUUAGACAGAAAUGAGAAAGGGUGUGUGUGUGUUUGUGUCUGUGGGUGACCGAGCUACCGAGGGUUAUACGUAAUGUCACAUUUAAUAACAAACAAUGUCAUGUACUAGAACAAGAUUGUUGCUUUGCUUCUGUAUAACUUAUAAUGCACUCUAUGAUGUAGUUAAAAAAAUAAAGUUUAAAAUACACAUAGAAAAUAGAAGAAAAAUGCAGGGAAUAUUUAAAGACAAUAGACAUAGUAAGUCAGAUUUUUUCCAAAUGCAUAUCAAAAUCUUUAUAUUUAACAUUGAAAUAAUAUUCUUCAAUCUCAAAUCAAUCUUUUGUCCCUUCAGAACUGUAAAAAGAAGUAGUCAAAUGCCAACACAUGUCUUUGUGUAUAUAAUAAAAUCCAGAACCUUUAUUAAAAAAAGGGAAACCAAUUCAUAGGUAUAUAAAAAUAAAGAAAACCUGAUGUUCCUUGAGGUACCAGCAACCUAUUAAUUGUUCCAAUUAAGACCAACAAAUGAGUUUCUGAAGGUUCUCAAUUAUGUUUUCUUGACGGUUUGUUCAUCUGUUUGAUGCUUUGAACUACAAAAAAAUUACGGCAUUUGGCAGAUGCCAUUAUCCAACAAUGGCAACAUUCGUAGUUAUACAACUGAGCAGUUGAGGGUUAAGGGCCUUGCUCAAGGGCCCAGAAACAGUAGGUUGGUGCAUGUGCUGAAAAUUGAACUCAUGUUCUUCCGGUCAGAAAUCGAAUGUCACAACCACUUAGCUACCAUUUCCCCCAUUUCUUUCCGUUUUUGAAAGUAUAUAAAGUGCAGGAUUUGCAGUGCAGGUCUCAUGGCAUAUUCAUUCAUAACAUGGUAGCAUUCAAAAGGCGUUUAUAAGCCCUUCAGGACUGACGUACCAUGUCAAAAUAACCUUCAAAUAACUAUAGAGCAUAUACAGUAAACUCAUCAAUACUAUGGUACGCUACAUAAGGCUUUCAUAAAGGUUUAUUCUAAGAAGUGUAAGCAACUUCAUAAGUAUUCAGUCUCUAUGUCAAGUUGAUGUAACCCAUAAGUCAAGUGUUAUGACCUUUGUUAGGUUUCAGGUGUAAUGUCAACCUGACAUCACAUAAAAACAUUAACACUGCAUAAGGGUGGUGUUUAAAAGGUAAUAACAUAAGCUUACCAGGAAAAGUACAUAAUGCCACAUUUAUUUACGCGUACAUAGCUUACAAGUGUCAUCUGUCAUAAAGCAUUUUUCAUUCUUUCUCUAUGUCAAGGUGACAAAGUCAGUUAUGAUGCUUUGAAUAAAAUUCAUGACAACUCAUUUUGUAGGUGUUUUUUUUAAUAGAUUUUCUAAUUUUAUAACUUUUCAAAUGCAUGGAAAGUGUCAAACAUAAUCUCACAAGACUUGUGUGGAGACAAGAGAGAGUGUGAAUUCAUCCAAGACAUAAUAUGUUAGAUGUGACAAUGCGGUUAUACAAAUAACCUCAAAUAAUCGACAUAAAGCUGCAUAAACAUUUAUAUAGGCUUAUUCCAAAUAAACGGCAGUUUCAGUCACACACCUGCAAUAAUAUUGAGUCUUUCUGGUAUAUCUGUAAGUAACUAAAAGCUCCAAACUUAAAUGUUUGUACAUAAGCCUGUCCCAGUAAGUCAACCCAAACCUCAAAAAUAACUUGUUAAUGUCAAUUGUCAUGAAGGGCUUAUGUAGCACUACAAAUGUUGGUUAAAAGAUAUUAUUACAUCAUCUGACAAGCAAGAAUUUUUUUCCUGUCUAGGACAUUAAGGUAAGUUUUUUAAAGGGAUAGUUGCCACUACCUCAAGUACCUUAGAGUUAUAUUCAACCCAGAGUACAUGGGUAUUAAGCCCGGCUUAGUGUUUGGUGGAUAAGAACUUUAAGAUUCACCUCAGUAAGCCACAUAUUCAGUAGUAUACAACAAAUAAAAAAUAAUCCAAUUCCUGA